CCUACGGGAGGCAGCAGUGGGGAAUAUUGGACAAUGGGGGGAACCCUGAUCCAGCCAUGCCGCGUGUGUGAAGAAGGCCCUCGGGUUGUAAAGCACUUUCAGUGAGGAAGAACGCCUGGUGGUUAAUACCCAUCAGGAAAGACGUCACUCACAGAAGAAGCACCGGCUAACUCCGUGCCAGCAGCCGCGGUAAUACGGAGGGUGCGAGCGUUAAUCGGAAUUACUGGGCGUAAAGCGCGCGUAGGUGGCUUGAUAAGCCGGUUGUGAAAGCCCCGGGCUCAACCUGGGAACGGCAUCCGGAACUGUCAAGCUAGAGUGCAGGAGAGGAAGGUAGAAUUCCCGGUGUAGCGGUGAAAUGCGUAGAGAUCGGGAGGAAUACCAGUGGCGAAGGCGGCCUUCUGGACUGACACUGACACUGAGGUGCGAAAGCGUGGGUAGCAAACAGGAUUAGAUACCCGUGUAGUC
rnacentral:rRNA from 1 species